rnacentral:rRNA from 1 species
AGGGAAACUUACUGAUAAUACUGGAUAAGUUAGUAUAUCGCAUGAUAUGCAAAUGAAAGCUACGGCACUAAAGGAGAGCUUUGCGUCCUAUUAGCUAGUUGGUAAGGUAAGAGCUUACCAAGGCGAUGAUAGGUAGCCGGCCUGAGAGGGUGGACGGCCACAAGGGGACUGAGAUACGGCCCUUACUCCUACGGGAGGCAGCAGC